GAUGAACGCUGGCGGCGUGCCUAAUACAUGCAAGUCGAGCGAACAGACGAGGAGCUUGCUCCUCUGACGUUAGCGGCGGACGGGUGAGUAACACGUGGAUAACCUACCUAUAAGACUGGGAUAACUUCGGGAAACCGGAGCUAAUACCGGAUAAUAUAUUGAACCGCAUGGUUCAAUAGUGAAAGACGGUUUUGCUGUCACUUAUAGAUGGAUCCGCGCCGCAUUAGCUAGUUGGUAAGGUAACGGCUUACCAAGGCAACGAUGCGUAGCCGACCUGAGAGGGUGGUCGGACACACGGGAACUGAGACACGGUCCAGACUCCUACGGGAGGCAGCAGUAGGGAAUCUUACGCGAUGGGGGAAAGCCUGACGGAGCAACGCCGCGUGAGUGAUGAAGGUCUUCGGAUCGUAAAACUCUGUUAUUAGGGAAGAACAAAUGUGUAAGUAACUAUGCACGUCUUGACGGUACCUAAUCAGAAAGCCACGGCUAACUACGUG
rnacentral:rRNA from 1 species